rnacentral:rRNA from 1 species
AUUGAACGCUGGCGGCAGGCCUAAUACAUGCAAGUCGAGCGAGCGGCGGACGGGUGAGUAAUGUCUGGGGACUGCCCGAUCGAGGGGGAUAACUACUGGAAACGGUGGCUAAUACCGCAAUUUGUCGGAUAACCCAUAUGGUAUUAGCUAGUAGGUAAGGUAAUGGAUUACCUAGGCGACGAACCCUAGAUGGUCUGAGAGGAUGAUCAGCCACACUGGGACUGAGACACGGCCGAGACGCCUACGGAUGCAGCAGUGGGGAAUAUUGCACAAUGGGCGCAAGCCUGAUGCAGCCAUGCGGCGUGUAUGAAGAAGGCCCUAGGGUUGUAAAGUACUUUCAGUCGGGAGGCGUUACCGACAGAAGAAGCACCGGCUAACUCCGUGCCAGCAGCCGCGGUAAUAC